rnacentral:lncRNA from 1 species
CUGAAAGUAUGAUUGAUGUGGAUGUUUAGCUGUAGCAUAAGAUCUUUAAUCUCCUCUAUACUCUCUUUUUGCAUCCAGGGGACUCUCCAUUCUUCUCGAAUCAUAAUUUUUAAACCAAGGAAAUCAGUCUCCAAAUGUAUCUGGAGAAAAUUCUGACUAAGACAGUACUUAACAGCCUUUAGGAUUGCUAUUGACUUAACCUUCAUAUUAGUCGCGAUUCCAAGAUUAUGAGCUUUUGCAUAGAUUAGAUCACCAUCACUGUUUCUAAUGCAGAAACCAUAUGAACUCAUACUUGGGCUACCUUUACUAGCUCCAUCUGUAUUGCAUGUAACCCAACCCUUUUCGUCUUCUUCCAUUUCACUACAAGAUAGUGAAGUCUGGGUUUGUAAGCUUGCAAUGUAUUCAUCAUUCCAUUCUAGUGGAAAGGUACCUCCUUUAUCCGUGGAAGUUUAAUGAGGUGAAACACAUUUAUUUGACAUUGAUAUUUCAUCUUAUUUAAAGUAACAUCUUUUCUAUGUCUUCUAGCAUUUCUCCUUUUUCAUAAUUCCCAUAUCACCAUUUCUGGAAUAGCUUUUGAGAUGUGCCUUAUCUUUGGAUGGCCUUUAUAGUUCUACCACUUGUAUAUGAGUUGGUGUGGGUUGAGUCUGUCCAUGUUGAUACCCGCACAGGAAGCAAACUGUCUUCAUAGCUGUUGAGCUAUGAGGGCUGGUAGUAAUAAAUGGUUCAUAGUCUCUAGAUGUCCUUCUUUACAACAAUGUCAUUUGGAGAUAAUGUGAAUCCACAUUCUUUUAAGAUUAUCAUUAGUGGCUAUUAUUUUCUCCAUGCUCUUCACAAAAAGAACGUUAUCUUAAAAGAAAUGCCUUUAUCCAAAUAUUCUGCAUCCAUUCUAUUUCAUCUCUCAUGUGUCUUAUGAUUUGAUAGGUUAAUUUCACAGUGAAUUCUCCCUUAGUGUUCCACAUCCAACAUGCUUUGUCAUUUUCUGCAAGUCCAAUGCAUGGUUUAAUGGUUUCAGCAAUGUGUAAUAAGUUCCUCUGACAGAUGCUCUAUGAGCUUUACCACAUUUUAUUCAUCAUUAGAGAUAAAAUCCUGUACUUCAUUUCCUCCUCUCUUUCUUCCCAUCCUUCCACAUGAUAUAAUGUCCCUACUCUUGUCCAUUUAUCAAACCAGAAACUGGAAUUUCCAGCCUUUAGCUGCCACUAAAUUUCAUAUUCUACUUCCUCUCUUACUUCUUGUAUCUUCCUCCAUACACGAAAAGCACCAAUGUUUCUUGUGAUGAAAGGAUGGAGCUUUUUACAAUAUUUGUUACACAUAUAGGUACUCUAUAAAGAUGAAGUUGACACUCUAAAUUUCCACCACAGUUUGACAAAUAAGGCCUUUGACACAUCAUGUAAUGAUCUGAAUCCUAGUCCUUCUUCCUUUCUGGGAUAACACAUGUCUUCCAAAGCAACCCGGUAUCUUCUUUUUAAACCUCCUGAACUGCCCAAAAGAAUUUAGCAAAAAUAUGAUGUAACUGAUCAAUUACCUUUCUAGGGGGAUUCAUAGCUGAAAAUAUAUAGACAGGCGUGGAUUGCAGUAAAUGAUUGAUGAGAAUGUAUUUACCCUCAAGAGUUAGUAGCUUAUUCUGCCACAUCAAUAACCUUCUUGUCACCUUUCUUAAUAAAUCUUUAGAAUAAGUCUUAUUCUUUCUACCAUAGAAAAUAGGACAACCUAAAUUGGUAAAAGGGAAGUUUCCUUGUUUUAUACCUGUUAAUCUUCUCAACUUUGUUGUCAUAAUCAGUGGUGGUUUGUCAUGUAGGUAGAAAAAACACUUCUUCUUGUUGACCAAUUGUUCUGGAUGCUCUCAUAAUUCUUUAAGACCAUUAUUAUUUUAAUGAUGAAUAUCCUAUCUCAUGAACAAAAAGGAUGGUAUCAUCUGCAUCUGAGAGAUGAUUAAUCUCAGGACUCCACUUUAGAAGCCCAUAUCCCUUGAAUUGUCUGUCACUGCGUAACCUAUUUAGUUCCCUAGCUAAGAAUUUUGCAGGAAUUAUGAUAAUUCUGUUGGUGAAAGUACUUAAACUUAUAGGUUUAAGAUUUGAAACGUCUUUCACCAUUUCCUUUUUAAGAAAUAAAAUCAAAUUGGUAUGAGUAAUAAAUUUAGACAGUUCUUACCCACAAAAGAAUACUCUUACUAGUUUGAUAUUAUCUUCUCCAAUAAUAUCCCAACAACUCUAAAAGGAUACUCCUGAGAAACCAUUAGGUCUACAAGUAUUGUCCCCAUUGAGAUAAAAAAAUCACCCUUUUAACCUCAUUUAUUUUUUGUAAUCUUAUCAUUUUAUCAUUCUGCUCUUCACUAAUUAGCUUGGUUAUACAUUGUAACAAAUCCUAUUCUUGGCUCGCCCCUUCUUCUGAGAACUGUUCUGUGAAGAAUGCAAAAACCUUCUCUCAUUUAUUUGAAGAUUUAUUCCUUGAUUUUUGUUAAUCUCUGCAAUGUGUAACUUUUUUUCUUCCUUUCAUAUAGGAAUGAAAGAACUUGAUAUUUUUAUCCCCCUCUGCAAACCACCUUAUUCAGCUUUUCUGUUUUUAAAAUUCUUCCUCAAUUUUCAUAAAUCUUUUUAACCCAUCUUGUACUUUGUGCAAUUCUACUCUAUUAGCUGCAGUAGGCAUUAUUUCCAGUCGUGCUUCCUUUACUUUAAUCACAUUUUCCAUGGUGUCAAUAUUUUGAAAAAUAUUUUCAAAAGCUACCUUAAUCCAAUCUAAUAGUGCCUUUUUUGCAUUCUUUAGUUUGCUUGGAGUUCUAUGAAGGAUUCCUGCAAAGUUGAUAUUCCUAUUCUACCUCACAACUUUCUUGAAAUUAGGAUGUUUCAUCCAAAAAUUCAAAAAUCUAAAUGGCUUGGUUAUGGAUUAUUCUUCUAUAUUACAAAUAAUAAAAAGAUGGUGCAUGGUUGGAUCCUUGUCUUAUCAAGUGAUGAACUUCAGAGAAAGGGAAGAUUAAAUGCUUAAUUAACCAGGACUCUAUCCAACCUUUUAAAAAUAUACUCUUCUUUAAUUCUCCCAUUCCACCAGGUCUAUUUACUUUCUAUGAAGUUUACCUCUAUUAAUUCACAAUUGUUGAUGUAGAGAGUAAAGUCUGUUCCUUUAUUUUGAGUAAAUGGUAAGCCACCCAACAUUUCAUCCUCUAAAAUUAUUACAUUAAAAUCUUCCCCUACUAUUUAUGGAUUUUGGUUGGUUUCAGUAAUGUGUUUCAGUUCCUCCCAUAAUUUCAAUAUGUCCAAUGCACUACAUCUAGCAUAGAUAGUAGUAAUAUGAAAAUAUUUAUUAUCCUUGUUGAAUUUCAUAAUUAACUAUUGUAUGAAAUCCAAAAUGAUCUAACUUUUCCAAUUUUCUUCCCAGAAUUUCAUUGUUAUUGGUUGUUGUAUUGUUUUUAAUCUCAAGAGUAUGUUGCAUGUAGUCUUUUUCUGUCUUUUACUUAGAAUGUUGAGGUCUUUGCUCUGUGUCUAGUGUUUUUGUCUCUACCUGCUUCUUUGAUCCUUCUGCUGACACCCAACUUUACUUGAAAUUAAUAUGCUACUUCCCUGUUCCUUAUUUCUUUGUGUAGUCGAAUCAGUAUUUGAUUGAACUAUUAUCUCCAUUUCUUUCCCUUUUCCAUCAUGUUUUUCUACUGAUCCUAUCACCCAGUCGUGACCUACUUUAGGUUAUUCCCCUCCUAUACUAUGUCAACUUUUCUGUUUUCUUUUUUGCCAACUUUUUGUGUUUCAUCCUAUGUUGUUUUCUCCUGCAUCGUGUUUUGUUCUGUGUUUUCAAGGGCUUCAAAUUGAUUGGCCACCCCUACUCUAUUCCAUCUCAUCUCUUGUCUCCACAUAUCUUUAUUUAUUCUUUUUACCUAUUUUUUGUUUCUCUGUUCUUUAAACUCAUCUACAUUAUUACCCUUUUGUUUUCCUUCUAAUUUUUGAUAUUGUUCAUUCUUGCCUUCCUGUUUAUUUUCCAUUGUUCUUGUAUUAUUGUUAAUUUCUUUGUUCUUCUGCUGAUUGUUACUUUCUUCCUCCUCCUAUUUGGGAUAUAAUUUUAGAUGCUCCACACAAAAUUGUUGUUUAUUGUCUUCCUGAAUCAUGCAUGUUCUACAAUAUUUAGGGAUGUAAUAAUAUUUUAUUCUAAUUAACUUUUCAGUGAUUUCCCUAUUUUGCUUCUUCACUCCAAUGUUAAUGCGCUUGGGGAAUUCUCCAAAUAAGUUAAUUUUGACUUCCACUCUUGCACAGUUGGGUGAUGUUUUGGCUUUUGACGGAAUAUUUUGUAUAUUUUUCAAGGGAUAAUUGUAUGUUUUCAAGCAACCAAUGUUGUAUUUAAUACUGGAUUUUAGUAUUUUCAGGUUAAGGAGUUAGCUGAAGGAGAAACUUAGGAAAAUAGCAAAAAAAGGCCACUGAUGGUUAAACUGGCGGACCAUCAGCCAUGUGACGGACCGUCAGG